UUUGAAAGUUUUCCAUGGUAUGAGGGUUGCUGUUUGUGGUACAGUUGGCUCUGGCAAGUCGAGUUUGCUUUCCUGUAUUUUGGGGGAAUUACCCAAGAUAUCUGGAACUCUUAAAUUGUGUGGUACAAAGGCCUAUGUUGCUCAGUCGCCUUGGAUACAAAGUGGCAAGAUUGAAGAGAACAUAUUGUUUGGCAAGGAGAUGGAUAGGGAGAGGUAUGACAGAGUGCUUGAAGCUUGUAGCCUCAAUAAAGAUCUUGAAAUCCUCUCAUUUGGUGAUCAGACCAUUAUAGGUGAGAGGGGAAUCAAUUUGAGCGGUGGGCAGAAGCAAAGAGUACAGAUUGCACGUGCUUUAUACCAAGAUGCUGAUAUCUAUCUCUUUGACGAUCCAUUCAGCGCUGUGGAUGCGCACACAGGAUCUCAUUUAUUUAAGGUAACAUCUUUUCUUCUCUGAUACGAUGGCAUGUAGUUUAAAAGUUACUUUGAAUCUAUGCAGAAAGCUAUACUGCUCUAUCUACGGUAAUUAAUUGAACUACUAACAUUUGCACUUUUGUCAGCUGCUUAUUUGAGCUUUCUUCUUCAGUUGGUGCUUUGCCUGAGUAAUUGUUUAAUCUUUGAAUGAUAGGAAGUUUUACUAGGCAUUUUGAGUUCAAAAACAGUGAUUUAUGUCACUCAUCAAGUUGAGUUUUUACCAGCUGCUGAUCUAAUCUUGGUAAGCUAUUUACAUUUUCAGUGUUUUUAAUCCUACUCCUUGGAGGGUAGGCAAUAAUAUAACUACUGGAUUCAACUUGUACAUUUUUGUUAGGUCAUGAAAGAUGGCAGGAUUACACAAGCUGGAAAGUAUAAUGACAUUUUCAAUUCAGGAACUGACUUUAUGGAACUUGUGGGUGCACAUAAGAAAGCUUUGUCAGCCCUUGAUACUGUUGAUGCAGGAUCUGUUUCUGAAAAAAAAAUCAGUGAGGGAGAUGGUACUACGGGAUGUGCUAAUAGGAAAGUGCAGAAAGAAGAAAAGCAAGGUAAUGGGAGUGGUAAAGUAGAUGAUGUCGGGCCAAAAGGACAGCUUGUUCAAGAAGAAGAGCGAGAAAAAGGAAAAGUUGGGUUUUCAGUCUACUGGAAGUAUAUCACAACAGCAUAUGGGGGAGCUCUUGUGCCAUUAAUAUUGCUUGCGCAGAUUGUCUUUCAGAUUUUUCAAAUUGGUAGCAAUUAUUGGAUGGCUUGGGCAUCUUCCGUGUCUGCAGAUGUCAAACCUCCAGUUGGGAGCUUUACACUAAUAAUUGUCUAUUUAGCUUUGGCCAUUGCUAGUGCCUUUUCUGUCCUUGCCAGAGCCAUGCUUCUUCGUACAGCUGGAUACAAAACAGCCACUCUUCUCUUCAAAAAGAUGCAUUUUUGCAUUUUCCGUGCCCCUAUGUCUUUCUUUGAUUCCACACCAAGUGGAAGAAUUCUAAAUAGAGUUAGUAUCGAAUGUUUUCCUGUAUGGAUUUUAAACAUUCUAUUUAUCUUUUUUUGGGGGGCAUUCCUUUCUUGGUUUUGAAGGAUUCUAUUAACGUCCUGCCUCUUUUAGGCUUCUACAGAUCAAAGUGCAGUGGAUUUGAACAUUCCAAAUCAAGUUGGUGGAUCCGCCUUUUCAGUUAUCGGGCUCCUGGGAAUCAUUGCAGUCAUGUCUCAAGUUGCUUGGCAGAUCUUUAUCAUUUUUAUCCCUGUGAUUGCAACCUGCAUUUGGUAUCAGGUAACUCUUAUAACCUCAUGUGAUAUGCUGUCUGUCAAAUUGUGGCUAUGGAAUGCUUAACCUCAUAAACUUGUAACCAUGCAGCUAUAUAUUGUAAAUCUCGAAGUCGUUUGAAAAAGCAUUCAACCUUGCAUAAUACUUGGACAUAGGAAUUCUCAUAAACUUGUAAUCUUGCAGCAAUAUUACAUAUCUUCUGCACGAGAACUUGCACGAUUGGUUGGAGUAUGCAAAGCUCCAGUGAUACAGCAUUUUGCUGAAACAAUUUUAGGAGCAACAACUAUCAGGAGCUUUGAUCAAGAAUCAAGAUUCCAAGAGACAAACAUGAUACUAACUGAUGCAUAUUCUCGUCCAAAAUUUCAUGCUGCUGCUGCAAUGGAAUGGCUGUGCUUCCGCAUGGACAUGUUGUCUUCUAUUACUUUUGCCUUCUCUUUGUUCUUUUUGAUCUCUAUACCAGAGGGAGUUAUUGAUCCAGGUAAGUGAUUGCAGAUUGGCAUCUUUAUUGACUGACAUGUCAUUGUAGAUAACAGAUGUUAAAGGAGAAUGACUGAUAGUAUUUUCUUUUGUUUAGCCAUUGCUGGUUUAACUGUGACGUAUGGACUCAAUCUAAAUAUGUUGCAAGCUUGGGUAGUAUGGAAUAUUUGCAAUAUGGAGAAUAAAAUUAUAUCUGUUGAGAGACUGCUUCAGUACAGUAGUAUUCCUAGUGAGCCUGCCCUUGUGAUAGAAACUAAUCGCCCGGACUGUUCUUGGCCAUCUCAUGGAGAAGUUAAUAUUCAUGAUCUGCAGGUAAUGCAGUUAUGCGGUGUUUAUGACUCAAAGUUGUUAUGUGUUGUUUUUGAAAUAAAUGAUGAUGUUCGAUGUAGGUGCGGUAUGCUCCACACAUGCCACUCGUCUUGCGAGGUAUGACAUGCACAUUUCCUGGAGGGUUGAAAACUGGCAUUGUAGGGAGAACAGGGAGUGGUAAAACAACUCUCAUACAAACACUUUUCCGCAUAGUUGAACCUGCAGCGGGUCAGAUUGUAAUUGAUGGUGUCAAUAUCUCAUCAAUUGGACUGCAUGAUUUGAGGUCAAGACUCAGCAUUAUCCCUCAGGAUCCUACCAUGUUUGAGGGGAAUAUACGGAGUAAUUUGGAUCCUCUUGAAGAGUACACAGACGAACAGAUUUGGGUGGUGGGUUCAUUUCAUUUUGAUUACGAGAGAAAAGCUUUUCUAGUCUGUACCAUUUAUUUUCUAAUAAAAUGCUGUGUAUAUGGUUGGUAUUUGAAGUCUGAUAUGUGUUGAUCUACGUUUCGAUUUUUUAAGGCAUUGGAUAAGUGCCAACUUGGGGAUGGAGUUAGAAAGAAGGAAGGCGGGCUAGAUUCUUCAGGUCUGAUCUUCUAUCAUAUAACAUACAAGUCGGAUGUCAUGCAAGUUGUUUAAAAUCUACUACUAAAUUCAACUGUUUAAAGAAAUGUUGAAGUAUUAUAACAUUGCUUCUGCAGUUACCGAGAAUGGAGAGAAUUGGAGCAUGGGACAGAGGCAGCUGGUCUGUCUCGGGCGUGUGCUGCUCAAGAAGAGUAAGAUCCUAGUGCUAGAUGAAGCUACGGCAUCAGUUGAUACAGCUACCGAUAAUCUGAUUCAGACAACCUUAAGGGAGCACUUUUCUGACUGUACAGUCAUAACAAUUGCACACCGGAUCACUUCUGUUCUUGACAGUGAUCUGGUUCUGCUUCUAAGCCACGGUUAGCACGGUUGUGUUAUCUAUCACUUGCUUGUAGGAUCCUUUGAACUUCAUUUCGUUUAAAACUUUUUCUAACUGUCCCAGGACUUGUCGAAGAAUAUGAUUCUCCCGCUAGAUUGCUGGAAAACAAGUCUUCAGCUUUCGCACAGCUUGUAGCCGAGUAUACUGUGAGAUCAAAUUCAAGCCUGGAGAAGUUCGACUGAAUUAGAUGAUCACGAAAAAUAUAUGGUCGGUACUCAUUGGGAAUGUUUUGUACAAGACAAGCCUAGUAGUUUCCUGGGCUUCAAUAAACACUAGUUGUAUAUUUUCCUUUUCUCUCUUCUAUCAGUCUGCCAUUAUUAAGUUACAAAGAAUUUUUAAGACAUAUGUUACGUCAAGAAAAUUAAUGUGAAAAAUUGUCAAAAACACGUGCGAAGAAAAAAAUAUUAUUAAUAUAAAGUCAACAAUUGGGUGGUGGGCCACACGUCCGUUAGUGGGGCCCAUUUCAAAAAGAAAGUGUCCAGAUUAGUAUCCCCCAAGUUUUCGUGGUGUGCAAUGAGGAUACAAGUCGAAGCAAAACUGUGAGGCUUCAGUACGGCGCCGUUUUUAUUGUCGCUUUCCGGUUUUUGGUCAGACUGGCGGGAUUUGAGUCUCCGGUUUGGUUCACCGCCAGGUGUCUGAACAAUGGCGGUUGAUAAGUUCCAACGGUUUUUUGUUAGAGUUUCCCGGGUUUUUGUGGUUCCUACUAACUUACUAUUUCAUGGUUUGAGAAAUAUUUUAAAAUUGUUUUAAAUUUAUUUAUAAUAAAUAAAAAAGACUUUUGAUACCCACAAUUAUUAUUAUUUGAGUUAUCAUCAAAUUAACCAAUGAACAUUAAUUUUUUUUUUAAUGAGAAAAGAGGGACAUUAAGUUUAAAAUAAUAAUAAAAUAAAUUUUUUAUUUAUUUUUAAAAAUUAUUUUUAUUUUAAAUUUUAAAAAAAUCAAAUCUCAUUAUCAUACAUCAAUCAAUAAAUUAAAUACUUAUAUAUUAAUUUUAAAAAUUAUUAAAAUAAUAAAAAAAUAUCUUUUUAAGUAACCGUAAAAUUAGAUUUUGAUAAUCUUUUUUAUAAAUAAAAAAAAUUAAUUCUUGAAUUAAAAAAAGGUUUUUUUUCUUUAUUGGUAAUGCGAGAGUUGUAAAAAUUUCAUUAGAUAAUUUUGCCUAACGAAAAGGUGUUUCUUUUGGCUUUUUUCUUAUUUCCCUCGCUACAGAGUCACUCUCACUCUAUAUUUCUAUUUCAUUGUAUAUCUCUUAUGUUUUGUCUCUCUCUCUCUCAAAGCUCACACCUUUCCCGGAAAGCCUCCAAUUUUUUAAUGUUCUUGGGCUAUCUUUUGAGGCUUAAGCCUCCCUUCUCCUUUGCUCUCUCCGUCUCUCAGGUCUUGGUCUCCACGCAUACCCCUUCCCCAAGUAAUCUUUUUUUGGCUUUCUCCUUUUGAGUCCCGAUAUUGACUUUAACGCUCCUUUUAAGGCUCGUUGAGAUAUAAACUCAAAAACAGGAACUCUCAGACACUUACGCAAGCAAAAUCUUCUCCAACACUGAAAACCCAAGUUUUUUCUUCAGUAAAAAGUCCAAAAAGAAUGAAAUUUUUUGCUUCAGAAUCAUUUUUGCUAAUGAGUUCAGCUUCUAGUUUUGAUUUUCUCCUAAAACCCAUGUUUCUUCAUGGGUGUUCUGCUUCAUUGCACCUAGUUUUAUUGCUUUUCUUGCUGGUCUUAUGGGUAGUGAACAGAGUUAAAGAAGCUGGUGGGGAAGGAUCAAAGGAGAGGUUAAGGCCAACGAAGGUUUUAUGGUAUAAGCAAACUUUAGCUUGUUGUUUUAUUGUUUCGGCUUUCAAUACUGUCUUGUGUUUGUUAAGUUAUUUUUAUUGGUAUAGAAAUGGUUGGUCUGAGGAUAAGUUAGUGACUCUUUCUGAUUAUGUGGUAAAAACACUUGCUUGGGGUACAACGUGUGUUUAUUUGCAUUAUCAGUUCUCCGAUUCUUGUGAACAAAAGAAGUUCCCAUUAUUGUUGAGAAUUUGGUGGGGUUUUUAUUUUUCAAUUUCUUGUUAUUGUCUUGUUAUAGACGUUGUUCUUUACAAAGAACAUGUUUCUUUCCCAAGUCAGUAUUUAGUAUCCGAUGUUUUUUCUGUUGUUACUGGUUUCUUCCUAUGUAUUGUGGGGUUUUUCGGAAGAAAUGAGGGUGAAGAUACCCUCCUUGAGGAGCCCCUUUUGAAUGGAGAUUCUAGUGUAGGUAAUGGUGUAGAGUUGAGUAAGAAAAAAGGAGGUGAUACUGUAACCCCAUAUUCAAAUGCUGGUAUUUUCAGCAUUCUUACAUUUUCUUGGAUGGGGCCUCUCAUUGCUGCUGGCAAUAAAAAACCUUUAGACCUCGAGGAUGUUCCUCAGCUAGAUAGCAGUGAUAGUGUUGUUGGGGCUGUUCAAAAUUUUAUAAACAGGCUUGCCUCAGCUGACAGUGAGGGGAGUGGAGUUACCGUGCUUAAGCUGGUGAAGGCACUACUCUUCUCAGCUUGGAAAGAUAUUCUUUGGACAGCUUUGUUAGCGUUUAUGUACACUGUGGCUUCAUAUGUUGGCCCAUAUCUCAUUGACACUUUUGUUCAGUACCUGAAUGGGCAGCGGGAGUUUAAAAAUGAGGGGUAUCUUCUGGUUAUGGCUUUCUUUGUUGCAAAGCUAGUAGAGUGCUUAUCGCAGAGGCGCUGGUAUUUUAAGUUGCAGCAAAUAGGAAUUAGGCUGAGGGCAGUACUGGUAGCAAUGAUUUAUAACAAGGGUUUAACCCUUUCGUGCCAUUCAAAGCAGAGCCACACCAGUGGGGAGAUCAUCAAUUUCAUGACUGUUGAUGCAGAGAGGGUGGGUGAGUUUUGUUGGUACAUACAUGAUCUAUGGAUAGUAGCUUUGCAAGUUGCUUUGGCCUUGGUGAUCUUGUAUAAAAACCUUGGAUUAGCAUCCAUUGCAGCUUUUGUUGCAACAGUGCUUGUUAUGUUGGCAAAUAUUCCUCUCGGGAAAAUGCAAGAGAAGUGUCAGGACAAGUUGAUGGAAUCUAAAGAUAAAAGGAUGAAGGCAACAUCUGAAAUUUUGAGGAACAUGAGAAUUCUCAAACUUCAAGGGUGGGAAAUGAAGUUUCUGUCAAAGAUUAUUGGGCUCAGGAAUAUUGAGGAAGGAUGGUUAAAAAGAUUUGUUUAUACAAAUGGCAUCACUAGUUUUGUUUUCUAUGUUGCACCCUCAGUUGUGUCUGUAGCCACUUUUGGUGCUUCUAUUCUUUUAGGAGUCCGACUUGAGUCUGGGAAGAUCCUAUCUGCGCUUGCAACGUUCAGGAUUCUUCAAGAGCCAAUCUACAGUCUUCCUGACACAAUUUCAAUGAUAGCUCAGACAAAGGUGUCUCUUGAUAGAAUUGCUUCCUUCCUCCGCCUUGAUGACUUGCAGCCUGAUGUUAUAGAGAAGCUUCCAAAAGGUAGUUCUGAUACUGCAAUUGAGAUUGUUGAUGGGAAUUUUUCUUGGGAUUUCACUUCUGCUACUGCAACGUUAAAAGAUAUAAAUUUGAAAGUUUUCCAUGGUAUGAGGGUUGCUGUUUGUGGUACAGUUGGCUCUGGCAAGUCGAGUUUGCUUUCCUGUAUUUUGGGGGAAUUACCCAAGAUAUCUGGAACUCUUAAAUUGUGUGGUACAAAGGCCUAUGUUGCUCAGUCACCCUGGAUACAAAGUGGCAAGAUUGAAGAGAACAUAUUGUUUGGCAAGGAGAUGGACAGGGAGAGGUAUGACAGAGUGCUUGAAGCUUGUACCCUCAAGAAGGAUCUUGAAAUCCUCUCAUUUGGUGAUCAGACCAUUAUUGGUGAGAGGG
rnacentral:lncRNA from 1 species